AACAUGGCGGACGACGUAGACCAGCAACAAACUACCAACACUGUAGAGGAGCCCCUGGAUCUUAUCAGGCUCAGCCUAGAUGAGCGAAUUUAUGUGAAGAUGAGAAAUGACCGAGAGCUUCGAGGCAGAUUACAUGCUUAUGAUCAGCAUUUAAAUAUGAUCUUGGGAGACGUGGAAGAAACUGUGACUACUAUAGAAAUUGAUGAAGAAACAUAUGAAGAGAUAUAUAAAUCAACGAAACGGAAUAUUCCAAUGCUCUUUGUGCGGGGAGAUGGCGUUGUCCUGGUUGCCCCUCCAUUGAGAGUUGGCUGAAACAAAGAAUUUGUCCUGUAUGGAAAACAGGAGACUUUGUACAGUGGCCUUUCUAAAUGUACAAAACAUUCAAAAGAGAAACCUGCAUACAUUUUGAUACUAAGAAAUAAUUCUGGGGAUUCUUCCACGCCUGAAAUGAGUUGAUUUGCAGAUAACUCACAACUUCUUAAGUGAAAUGGUAUUUUCAUUUUUCUUAAGCUCUUCCAAUAAAUAUGACCACCAAGAUGCAGAACUCUUUUUCAGGACUUGUUUGCUCCAUUAUUCUCACAGAUAUUUUUCUCAUUUUUUUUUUCUUUAAAUUGGUGUUUCCUCGUAGAUUUUUUUCAGUGCCGUCUUCUGUCUUGUAAAUGAUUUAAGGUGAGCCCACGUCUUACCUUAGCACACAUUUGCAGUGCACCUACUGUGUUUCAGGCACCAGGUUUGAGUGCUGGCAACCAGAGUUUUACCAAAAUGCUGUCUGGGCCAGACACAGUGGCUCACGCCUGUAAUCCUAGCGGUUGGGAGGCGGGUGGAUCACCUGAGGUCAGGCAUUUGAGACCAGCCUGGCCAACGUGGUGAAACCCUGUCUCUACUAAAAAUACAAAAAUUAGCCAGGCGUGGUGGCACAUACUUGUAAUCCCAGCUAUUCAGGAAGCUGAGGCAGUAGAAUCACUUGAACCCGGGAGGCAGAGGUUGCAGUGAGCCAAGAUCACACCAUUGCACUUCAGCCUGGGCAACAGAGCGAGACUCUGUGUCCAAAAAAAAAAAAAAAAAAAUUCUGCCCUCAAAUCUUCUGGGGAGGCAGAUGUUUAAACCAACAAUUGCAGGCAGUAAGAUUAGUGCUGAUAGAAUCAUGCACAUGCAGGAUGCCAUAGGAGCAUGGGGAAGAGCACCCAAAUAUGGGAGAAAGGGGCAGACAGACAUUGUAAACAUUAAUCCUGCAAUAGAAGACAGCAAACCACGAUUUCUCUUUUCUCUGGCCGGAUUUAAUUCUAAGGUCAGACGUGGUUCAGCUUGGUCAUACCUGCUUAUAAUUAUGACUCAAACCAUUUUUCUACUCUUGGCUCAUUGGCCAUUAAUGAUGAGGGGUCUCAAACAACAUGUCUCAGUGGCACAGUAAAGCAGAAAUUGGCUAAAAGCAAAGUUAUUUUUAUUUCUAGCUUCAGUCAGCACAUAAUGCUUAAAACCUAAAGAGAAAAGGAAAAGCAUGUUACAAUCGCUCCAACUUUAUCAAGACAGGACUUAGAACCUGGCCUUCUCCACUAUGGUCAUUCCAUUUUGAAAUGUAGAAAAUCCAACAUGUGG
rnacentral:lncRNA from 1 species